CCUGAUGCAGCGACGCCGCGUGAGGGAUGACGGCCUUCGGGUUGUAAACCUCUUUCAGUAGGGACGAAGCGCAAGUGACGGUACCUAUAGAAGAAGCACCGGCCAACUACGUGCCAGCAGCCGCGGUAAUACGUAGGGUGCGAGCGUUGUCCGGAAUUACUGGGCGUAAAGAGCUCGUAGGUGGUUUGUCGCGUUGUUCGUGAAAACUCACAGCUUAACUGUGGGCGUGCGGGCGAUACGGGCAGACUGGAGUACUGCAGGGGAGACUGGAAUUCCUGGUGUAGCGGUGGAAUGCGCAGAUAUCAGGAGGAACACCGGUGGCGAAGGCGGGUCUCUGGGCAGUAACUGACGCUGAGGAGCGAAAGCGUGGGGAGCGAACAGGAUUAGAUACCCUGGUAGUCCACGCCGUAAACGGUGGGUACUAGGUGUGGGUUUCCUUCCUUGGGAUCCGUGCCGUAGCUAACGCAUUAAGUACCCCGCCUGGGGAGUACGGCCGCAAGGCUAAAACUCAAAGGAAUUGACGGGGGCCCGCACAAGCGGCGGAGCAUGUGGAUUAAUUCGAUGCAACGCGAAGAACCUUACCUGGGUUUGACAUGCACAGGACGUGCCUAGAGAUAGGUAUUCCCUUGUGGCCU
rnacentral:rRNA from 1 species